CCUACGGGAGGCAGCAGUAGGGAAUCUUCGGCAAUGGACGGAAGUCUGACCGAGCAACGCCGCGUGAGUGAAGAAGGUUUUCGGAUCGUAAAACUCUGUUGUUAGAGAAGAACAAGGGUGAGAGUAACUGUUCACCCCUUGACGGUAUCUAACCAGAAAGCCACGGCUAACUACGUGCCAGCAGCCGCGGUAAUACGUAGGUGGCAAGCGUUGUCCGGAUUUAUUGGGCGUAAAGCGAGCGCAGGCGGUUUCUUAAGUCUGAUGUGAAAGCCCCCGGCUCAACCGGGGAGGGUCAUUGGAAACUGGGAGACUUGAGUGCAGAAGAGGAGAGUGGAAUUCCAUGUGUAGCGGUGAAAUGCGUAGAUAUAUGGAGGAACACCAGUGGCGAAGGCGGCUCUCUGGUCUGUAACUGACGCUGAGGCUCGAAAGCGUGGGGAGCAAACAGGAUUAGAUACCCUGGUAGUCCACGCCGUAAACGAUGAGUGCUAAGUGUUGGAGGGUUUCCGCCCUUCAGUGCUGCAGCUAACGCAUUAAGCACUCCGCCU
rnacentral:rRNA from 1 species